rnacentral:rRNA from 1 species
UACGAAGGGGGCUAGCGUUGUUCGGAAUUACUGGGCGUAAAGCGUGCGCAGGCGGCUUCUUAAGUCAGGGGUGAAAUCCUGGAGCUCAACUCCAGAACUGCCUUUGAUACUGAAGAUCUUGAGUUCGGGAGAGGUGAGUGGAACUGCGAGUGUAGAGGUGAAAUUCGUAGAUAUUCGCAAGAACACCAGUGGCGAAGGCGGCUCACUGGCCCGAUACUGACGCUGAGGCACGAAAGCGUGGGGAGCAAACAGG